GUCCCUUCCGGGACACCCAUUCAAAUUGAACAAGACAGAAAAAAUUAGCAUGGCUCCUCUGCAAGGAUGGCAUGCAAAAAUAGAGAAACAAAUGUAUUGGUU